AGGACGAACGCUGGCGGUGCGCCUAACACAUGCAAGUCGAACGGUGAACCGGGCUUCGGCCCGGGGAUCAGUGGCGAACGGGUGCGUAACACGUGGGCAACCUGCCCCCGACCCUGGGAUAACCCCGGGAAACCGGAGCUAAUACCGGAUACUCUCCUCUGACCACCUGGUCGGAUGAGGAAAGGUCCGCCGGUCGGGGAUGGGCCCGCGGCCUAUCAGCUUGUUGGUGGGUAACGCCUACCAAGGCAUCGACGGGUAGCUGGUCUGAGAGGACGACCAGCCACACUGGGACUGAGACACGGCCCAGACUCCUACGGGAGGCAGCAGUGGGGAAUCUUGCGCAAUGGGCGAAAGCCUGACGCAGCGACACCGCGUGGGGGAUGAAGGCCUUUCAGGUCGUAAACCCCUUUCGGCAGGGACGAAGCGAUCUCGUGACGGUACCUGCAGAAGAAGCCUCGGCUAACUACGUGCCAGCAGCCGC
rnacentral:rRNA from 1 species